GAGCAGAAAGCACCCUCAGCUGGAGAUAAAUAUAUGCAAAUGAGAUGCACAAACAAAGGAGCCUGGACAGAGAAAUAUCUGCAAUUCCAGCAAAAUGCUGCCUGCAGCUCGAAGAUGAACAGCUUUGAUAAAAUGGAAUUAAGCCCCAAUCCCAGUCUCUUGCCGGAAGACAGGCUGGACCCAGGACAGAGAAAUUGCUGCACGUGAACAUAUGUAUGAUAUUUAGGUUAAUAAUCCAAGCAGUUAAGUGAGAAAUAUUCCUCGCAUGGGCUGGUGACUCAGAUACAGAUCUGCAACAAGCAACUAGGAUAAAAAAUAGUUAAAAUGAAUCAACAUUUAUCUGGAAUAUACAGUCCUGACCUUAAAAAAAAGUCAUUUAUCUUCUGUGUCCUGUAAUGUUUUGAGGAUUCUGGCAAAUAUGGCAGUUAAACAAACUUCUCUCAUAAUCUAAAUACUGUCUGUUCAAGAGAGGCUUCCAAUGUUUAUAGCCCAUAAGUAAAGAAAAAAAAAAAAAAUCCUGGUAUUUAACCAAGAAUAGUGCUCUUGAAAAUGUCUUCGAACAAAGUGUUUAAGCAAAACUUUGGCCACGGAUAUUUUCAGUUCCUCAUUCUUCUUCUGAUUCCUUUUUUCAAUGAGCUGUUUUCAUAUGCCAUCAUUUCUCUCCUUUCCUUGAAAUUAACGAAUUCAUUUCAAAAAAUGAAUGCCUAACUAGUGACCUGGUCAUACAAACUUCCUUGAGAAACAGUUGAGAAGAAAACAUCACAUUUUUAUGAACCCCAUCUCCUGCCAGGGGCCUCGGAGGAGGAACACCAUUAUGCAUUGUUAUCAGCGUGGUGUAAUUUGACUGUUGACAAAGUAUCCGUGGCAGUGAGAAUGAGCGCAGUUAGAAGUGUGGCGGAUUGUAAUCAAGAAGAUGCUUAGCUGUGCAACACUGCAUCUUGAGCAGAUUUGAAUCAACAUUGCCUUAAGGGGACACACACACAUACCAAAAGGAAAAAAAAAAUCCAUUAAUUUUUAGAGGGAAAAUUAGAGUGGCACUUGAUGAAGUGAAAUUUGACAUGC